rnacentral:rRNA from 1 species
GAGCACGUAGGUGGGUUUGUAAGUCAGAUGUGAAAGCUUUCUGUUCAACGGAAGAAUUGCAUCCGAAACUGCGAGUCUUGAGUGUAGGAGGGGAGAAUGGAACUUCUGGUGGAGCGGUGAAAUGCGUAGAUAUCAGAAGGAACGCCGGCGGCGAAAGCGACUCUCUGGCCUAUUACUGACACUCAGUGUGCGAAAGCUAGGGGAGCAAACGGGAUUAGAUACCCCGGUAGUCCUAGCCGUAAACGAUGGGCACUAAGUAGAGGGGUUUU